rnacentral:rRNA from 1 species
UACGUAGGGGGCAAGCGUUGUCCGGAGUUACUGGGCGUAAAGCGCACGCAGGCGGUCUUUUAAGUUUGGAGUGACAGUUGGUGGCUUAACUGCCAAAGUGCUUCGAAACUGACAGACUUGAGGGCUUCAGAGGGACACGGAAUUCCGGGUGGAGUGGUGAAAUGCGUAGAGAUCCGGAGGAACACCAAAGGCGAAGGCAGUGUCCUGGGGAGUACCUGACGCUCAGGUGCGAAAGCCAGGGAGCGAACGGG